rnacentral:rRNA from 1 species
UGUAACAAGGUUUCCGUAGGUGAACCUGCGGAAGGAUCAUUGUCG